rnacentral:rRNA from 1 species
GAUGAACGCUGGCGGCGUGCCUAAUACAUGCAAGUCGAGCGAACAGACGAGGAGCUUGCUCCUCUGACGUUAGCGGCGGACGGGUGAGUAACACGUGGAUAACCUACCUAUAAGACUGGGAUAACUUCGGGAAACCGGAGCUAAUACCGGAUAAUAUAUUGAACCGCAUGGUUCAAUAGUGAAAGACGGUUUUGCUGUCACUUAUAGAUGGAUCCGCGCCGCAUUAGCUAGUUGGUAAGGUAACGGCUUACCAAGGCAACGAUGCGUAGCCGACCUGAGAGGGUGAUCGGCCACACUGGAACUGAGACACGGUCCAGACUCCUACGGGAGGCAGCAGUAGGGAAUCUUCCGCAAUGGGCGAAAGCCUGACGGAGCAACGCCGCGUGAGUGAUGAAGGUCUUCGGAUCGUAAAACUCUGUUAUUAGGGAAGAACAAAUGUGCAAGUAACUAUGCACGUCUUGACGGUACCUAAUCAGAAAGCCACGGCUAACUACGCG